GUACAUUUCUACCGCCACCUGGCGCGCUACGAAUUUGACAGUUUUCAGCUUCUUUUAAUACUUGCAGUGCCUCUUAGCAGUUAAAAUUUUGACAGUGCCUUUCUUUCGAUGUCUUCUUUCUGUGUAAAAAAUCUGAGGGCAUUCUCAGCUGGAAUUCCGAAAUUGGUCAACCCGCAAAAAACACAAGCAGCUACUUUAACAUAAUAAGUGUACUUCAUUGGACUGUGUUCGCUUUGACAAUGGAGCUGUCCCACCAUCGCCCCUUUUACAAACUAGGGAUGGUGCCGAUCUGUAAUACAACUAUCUUGGACGGUGACAGUGAGAAACUACCAUAUAGACCAGAUGGGCCAAGUCUUCAACGCUGCAUGGACAUGUGUACCAUCCAAUACGUCACCCCACAUGAUAACAGGUACAUUACUGUCUCAGCAUUGCUAUACCAAUUCUUAUGCCAUUUACUGUAGAAAAUGCAUAACACAAAUGCUGACUUUAAUGCAAUCUAUAUAUACCGACUGGCUU